GAAGCUACCAUCUGUAGGAUUAUUACUGAACGCCUCUAAGUCAGAAUCUAUGCUGGAAAGCGACGAUAAUCACCGCUCUCUGUGUUCACGCGUAGCGAUAGGCUUCGGCCCAACACCACAUUCAGUCGCCUUUCGGGCACUGAGAGCGAUAAAUCCUUUGUAGACGACUUUGAUAUGGAACGGGGUAUUGUAAGUAUGAGAGUAGGCUUGUCCUACGAUCUACUGAGAUUAAGCCCUUUGU
rnacentral:rRNA from 1 species